AACGUAGAAGACAAACGUUAUCCGGAGUUACUGGGCGUAAAGGGCGUGUAGGCGGUUUGUUAAGUCUGGCGUGAAAGCUCUCGGCUAAACCGGGAGAGGUCGUUGGAUACUGGCAAACUAGAGGACGGUAGAGGCGUGUGGAAUUCCGGGUGUAGUGGUGAAAUGCGUAGAAGAUCCGGAGGAACACCAGUGGCGAAGGCGACACGCUGGGCCGUACCUGACGCUAAAGGCGCGACAGCAUGGGGAGCAAACGGG
rnacentral:rRNA from 1 species